rnacentral:rRNA from 1 species
UACGUAGGGUGCAAGCGUUUAAUCGGAAUUACUGGGCGUAAAGCGCGCGUAGGCGGUGAACUUUGUCAGAGGUGAAAUCCCGAGGCUCAACUUCGGAAUUGCCUUUGAAACGGGUUCGCUUGAGUCCGAGAGAGGAUGGCGGAAUUCCUAGUGUAGAGGUGAAAUUCGUAGAUAUUAGGAAGAACACCGGUGGCGAAGGCGGCCAUCUGGCUCGGUACUGACGCUCAGGCGCGAAAGCGUGGGGAGCAAACAGGG